AAUGGGUGAUGGCGUGCCUUUUGUAGAAUGAACCGGCGAGUUACGAUUUGAUGCAAGGUUAAGCAGUAAAUGUGGAGCCGUAGCGAAAGCGAGUCUGAAUAGGGCGUUUAGUAUUUGGUCGUAGACCCGAAACCAGGUGAUCUACCCUUGGUCAGGUUGAAGUUCAGGUAACACUGAAUGGAGGACCGAACCGACUUACGUUGAAAAGUGAGCGGAUGAACUGAGGGUAGCGGAGAAAUUCCAAUCGAACCUGGAGAUAGCUGGUUCUCUCCGAAAUAGCUUUAGGGCUAGCCUCAAGUGAUGAUUAUUGGAGGUAGAGCACUGUUUGGACGAGGGGCCCCUCUCGGGUUACCGAAUUCAGACAAACUCCGAAUGCCAAUUAAUUUAACUUGGGAGUCAGAACAUGGGUGAUAAGGUCCGUGUUCGAAAGGGAAACAGCCCAGACCACCAGCUAAGGUCCCAAAAUAUAUGUUAAGUGGAAAAGGAUGUGGCGUUGCCCAGACAACUAGGAUGUUGGCUUAGAAGCAGCCAUCAUUUAAAGAGUGCGUAAUAGCUCACUAGUCGAGUGACACUGCGCCGAAAAUGUACCGGGGCUAAACAUAUUACCGAAGCUGUGGAUUGUCCUUUGGACAAUGGUAGGAGAGCGUUCUAAGGGCGUUGAAGCAUGAUCGUAAGGACAUGUGGAGCGCUUAGAAGUGAGAAUGCCGGUGUGAGUAGCGAAAGACGGGUGAGAAUCCCGUCCACCGAUUGACUAAGGUUUCCAGAGGAAGGCUCGUCCGCUCUGGGUUAGUCGGGUCCUAAGCUGAGGCCGACAGGCGUAGGCGAUGGAUAACAGGUUGAUAUUCCUGUACCACCUAUAAUCGUUUUAAUCGAUGGGGGGACGCAGUAGGAUAGGCGAAGCGUGCGAUUGGAUUGCACGUCUAAGCAGUAAGGCUGAGUAUUAGGCAAAUCCGGUACUCGUUAAGGCUGAGCUGUGAUGGGGAGAAGACAUUGUGUCUUCGAGUCGUUGAUUUCACACUGCCGAGAAAAGCCUCUAGAUAGAAAAUAGGUGCCCGUACCGCAAACCGACACAGGUAGUCAAGAUGAGAAUUCUAAGGUGAGCGAGCGAACUCUCGUUAAGGAACUCGGCAAAAUGACCCCGUAACUUCGGGAGAAGGGGUGCUCUUUAGGGUUAACGCCCAGAAGAGCCGCAGUGAAUAGGCCCAAGCGACUGUUUAUCAAAAACACAGGUCUCUGCUAAACCGUAAGGUGAUGUAUAGGGGCUGACGCCUGCCCGGUGCUGGAAGGUUAAGAGGAGUGGUUAGCUUCUGCGAAGCUACGAAUCGAAGCCCCAGUAAACGGCGGCCGUAACUAUAACGGUCCUAAGGUAGCGAAAUUCCUUGUCGGGUAAGUUCCGACCCGCACGAAAGGCGUAACGAUUUGGGCACUGUCUCAACGAGAGACUCGGUGAAAUCAUAGUACCUGUGAAGAUGCAGGUUACCCGCGACAGGACGGAAAGACCCCGUGGAGCUUUACUGUAGCCUGAUAUUGAAAUUCGGCACAGCUUGUACAGGAUAGGUAGGAGCCUUUGAAACGUGAGCGCUAGCUUACGUGGAGGCGCUGGUGGGAUACUACCCUAGCUGUGUUGGCUUUCUAACCCGCACCACUUAUCGUGGUGGGAGACAGUGUCAGGCGGGCAGUUUGACUGGGGCGGUCGCCUCCUAAAAGGUAACGGAGGCGCUCAAAGGUUCCCUCAGAAUGGUUGGAAAUCAUUCAUAGAGUGUAAAGGCAUAAGGGAGCUUGACUGCGAGACCUACAAGUCGAGCAGGGUCGAAAGACGGACUUAGUGAUCCGGUGGUUCCGCAUGGAAGGGCCAUCGCUCAACGGAUAAAAGCUACCCCGGGGAUAACAGGCUUAUCUCCCCCAAGAGUUCACAUCGACGGGGAGGUUUGGCACCUCGAUGUCGGCUCAUCGCAUCCUGGGGCUGUAGUCGGUCCCAAGGGUUGGGCUGUUCGCCCAUUAAAGCGGUACGCGAGCUGGGUUCAGAACGUCGUGAGACAGUUCGGUCCCUAUCCGUCGUGGGCGUAGGAAAUUUGAGAGGAGCUGUCCUUAGUACGAGAGGACCGGGAUGGACAUACCUCUGGUGUACCAGUUGUCGUGCCAACGGCAUAGCUGGGUAGCUAUGUGUGGACGGGAUAAGUGCUGAAAGCAUCUAAGCAUGAAGCCCCCCUCAAGAUGAGAUUUCCCAACUUCGGUUAU
rnacentral:rRNA from 1 species